AAGAGACAGCAGCAGCCGCGGUAAUACGGAGGGUGCAAGCGUUAAUCGGAAUUACUGGGCGUAAAGCGUGCGUAGGCGGCUUCUUAAGUCGGAUGUGAAAUCCCUGAGCUUAACUUAGGAAUUGCAUUCGAUACUGGGAAGCUAGAGUAUGGGACAGGAUGGUAGAAUUCCAGGUGUAGCGGUGAAAUGCGUAGAGAUCUGGAGGAAUACCGAUGGCGAAGGCAGCCAUCUGGCCUAAUACUGACGCUGAGGUACGAAAGCAUGGGGAGCAAACAGGAUUAGAUACCCCAGUAGUCCCUGUCUCUUAUAC
rnacentral:rRNA from 1 species